CAGCAGUGUGACACAUGAGCAUCACAUUCAGAGCAUCAUUAUAUAUUUUGAGUCAGCAUUCGGUGAGUUUGAAGAAGCAGGACAAGGACAUUCAGAAACAAACACUGCUGAUAAGGAAUUCAACUACAUACAUUAGAUAUGUCCAUAAACUCUGCCUCCAACUCCAGCUAUGUGCUAUUAUUCCGUUGCACUGACUCCAGAGUUAACAGUAAUAUCACCAUGGCCAUCAAUGCCGUAAGAACCAUCCUCACCCUGCCUGUUUGCACCCUCGUCCUCUACCUGGGUCUCCAACGAUGGCGGCAGCAGCACUCCUUUAAAACAACAAGCCACUCUGACAUCUUCACCUUCCACAUGGCUGCCAUGGAGCCGAUCUGGCUGUUGGGGACCAUCUGCUACAUGUUGGGCAUGUAUGCUAAUCUCCCAGAGAUGCUUAUGUAGGAAUUUGUUUUCUAUGGAGAGACUCUCUUUCACAUCCUGACCUGUGUGGACCGAUACCUGGCUGUUGUUCACCCCGUCACCUACCUGGGGCUAAGAAAUGCGCCUGGGGGCAGGAUCAGAAACAUCAGCAUUGGGUGUGUUUGGCUGCUGUGCUUUGGAUCGCCUUUCUGUUCUCUGUGUUCGUUCGGAUUCGUCCAGGGCCAGGGGGAGGAGGCAGGGAAAAGGAGUGGAUUGACAAAACAAAGCAGAGAGCUUUCCACACCAUCGCAGCCAUAACGGGAGUGCUGUGGUUGUGGUUUUUAGGGCUCCUUGUUUCUGCUGCUCUGUACAGCUCAGCACUGCUGAGCUACAAUUUUGGCUGUGUGGUGAUAAUAUGUAAA